UACGUAGGGCGCAAGCGUUGUCCGGAAUUAUUGGGCGUAAAGAGCUCGUAGGCGGCUUGUCACGUCGGAUGUGAAAGCCCGGGGCUUAACUCCGGGUCUGCAUUCGAUACGGGCUGGCUAGAGUGUGGUAGGGGAGAUCGGAAUUCCUGGUGUAGCGGCGAAAUGCGCAGAUAUCAGGAGGAACACCGGUGGCGAAGGCGGAUCUCUGGGCCAUUACUGACGCUGAGGAGCGAAAGCGUGGGGAGCGAACAGG
rnacentral:rRNA from 1 species